CCUACGGGGGGCAGCAGUGGGGAAUAUUGCACAAUGGGCGCAAGCCUGAUGCAGCCAUGCCGCGUGUGUGAAGAAGGCCUUCGGGUUGUAAAGCACUUUCAGCGGGGAGGAAGGCGUUAAGGUUAAUAACCUUGUCGAUUGACGUUACCCGCAGAAGAAGCACCGGCUAACUCCGUGCCAGCAGCCGCGGUAAUACGGAGGGUGCAAGCGUUAAUCGGAAUUACUGGGCGUAAAGCGCACGCAGGCGGUCUGUCAAGUCGGAUGUGAAAUCCCCGGGCUCAACCUGGGAACUGCAUUCGAAACUGGCAGGCUAGAGUCUUGUAGAGGGGGGUAGAAUUCCAGGUGUAGCGGUGAAAUGCGUAGAGAUCUGGAGGAAUACCGGUGGCGAAGGCGGCCCCCUGGACAAAGACUGACGCUCAGGUGCGAAAGCGUGGGGAGCAAACAGGAUUAGAUACCCGUGUGUC
rnacentral:rRNA from 1 species